AGCAGCCGCGGUAAUUCCAGCUCCAAUAGCGUAUAUUAAAGUUGUUGCAGUUAAAAAGCUCGUAGUUGAAUUUCGGAAUCAAUUUGUUGGUCGUGCCUCGGUACGUACUGGUAUUAUUGGUUUCUACCUUCUGAAGAACCUUGAUGUCAUUAAUUUGGUGUCUUGGGGAAUCAGGACUGUUACUUUGAAAAAAUUAGAGUGUUUAAAGCAAGCAUACGCUUGAAUACAUUAGCAUGGAAUAAUGAAAUAGGACGUUUGAUUCUAUUUUGUUGGUUUCUAGGAUCGACGUAAUGAUUAAUAGGGAUAGUUGGG
rnacentral:rRNA from 1 species